rnacentral:rRNA from 1 species
AGUGAACGCUGGCGGUAGGCCUAACACAUGCAAGUCGAACGGCAGCACAGUAAGAGCUUGCUCUUACGGGUGGCGAGUGGCGGACGGGUGAGGAAUACAUCGGAAUCUACUUUUUCGUGGGGGAUAACGUAGGGAAACUUACGCUAAUACCGCAUACGACCUACGGGUGAAAGCAGGGGAUCUUCGGACCUUGCGCGAUUGAAUGAGCCGAUGUCGGAUUAGCUAGUUGGCGGGGUAAAUGCCCACCAAGGCGACGAUCCGUAGCUGGUCUGAGAGGAUGGUCGGCCACAUGAGAAGUGAGACACGGUCCAGACUCCUACGGGAGGCAGCAGUGGGGAAUAUUGGACAAUGGGCGCAAGCCUGAUCCAGCCAUACCGCGUGGGUGAAGAAGGCCUUCGGGUUGUAAAGCCCUUUUGUUGGGAAAGAAAAGCAGCAGGUUAAUACCCCGCUGUUCUGACGGUACCCAAAGAAUAAGCACCGGCUAACUUCGUG